rnacentral:tRNA from 1 species
UCCCUGUAGCUCAGAUGGUAAAGAAUCUGCCUGCAAUGCAGGAGACCUGGGUUCAAUUCCUGGGUUGGGAA